rnacentral:rRNA from 1 species
GGAUAGGUGGGAGGCUUUGAAGCUGGAACGCUAGUUCCAGUGGAGCCGUCCUUGAAAUACCACCCUGGUAAUAUUGAGGUUCUAACUCUGUCCCGUUAUCCGGGACGAGGACCAUGUCUGGUGGGUAGUUUGACUGGGGCGGUCUCCUCCUAAAGAGUAACGGAGGAGUACGAAGGUGCGCUCAGCGUGGUCGGAAAUCACGCGUAGAGUAUAAAGGCAAAAGCGCGCUUAACUGCGAGACCCACAAGUCGAGCAGGUACGAAAGUAGGUCUUAUUGAUCCGGUGGUUCUGUAUGGAAGGGCCAUCGCUCAACGGAUAAAAGGUAC